UGCGGGAUGAACCGGAAGCCGGG
rnacentral:snRNA from 1 species